UUUGGGAUGUCCCAUCAUUUUUAUACAUUCCCAAAAUAGCAACUUUUUAUAAUAUAAAACACUACUACACCCACUACAUUCUCCCACUAUCUCCAUUUUAUAAUAAUAAAAAUACUAUUACACCCACUAACUUCCUCCACUAUCUCAAAUCUAUUAUUAAAAAAUAUAUGGGUCCCACCACUUUACCCACUUUCCAUUUAACUUUACUCAUUUCUUACACUUUUUCUUGGUCUCCGUGUCCAAUCCCAGUGUAUAUAACUCACUGGGACGGAGGGAGUA
rnacentral:lncRNA from 1 species